ensembl:piRNA 21ur-8823 ncRNA
UUGUUGGAAAAAUCGUCUAAU